GAGUUUGAUCGUGGCUCAGGAUGAACGCUGGCGGCGUGCCUAAUACAUGCAAGUCGAGCGAACGGACGAGAAGCUUGCUUCUCUGAUGUUAGCGGCGGACGGGUGAGUAACACGUGGAUAACCUACCUAUAAGACUGGGAUAACUUCGGGAAACCGGAGCUAAUACCGGAUAAUAUUUUGAACCGCAUGGUUCAAAAGUGAAAGACGGUCUUGCUGUCACUUAUAGAUGGAUCCGCGCUGCAUUAGCUAGUUGGUAAGGUAACGGCUUACCAAGGCAACGAUGCAUAGCCGACCUGAGAGGGUGAUCGGCCACACUGGAACUGAGACACGGUCCAGACUCCUACGGGAGGCAGCAGUAGGGAAUCUUCCGCAAUGGGCGAAAGCCUGACGGAGCAACGCCGCGUGAGUGAUGAAGGUCUUCGGAUCGUAAAACUCUGUAUUAGGGAAGAACAUAUGUGUAAGUAACUGUGCACAUCUUGACGGUACCUAAUCAGAAAGCCACGGCUAACUACGUCG
rnacentral:rRNA from 1 species